GACGAACGCUGGCGGCGUGCUUAACACAUGCAAGUCGAGCGGUAAGGCCUUCGGGUACACGAGCGGCGAACGGGUGAGUAACACGUGGGUGAUCUGCCCUGCACUUCGGGAUAAGCUUGGGAAACUGGGUCUAAUACCGGAUAUGACCAUGGGAUGCAUGUUCUGUGGUGGAAAGAUUUAUCGGUGCAGGAUGGGCCCGCGGCCUAUCAGCUUGUUGGUGGGGUAAUGGCCUACCAAGGCGACGACGGGUAGCCGGCCUGAGAGGGCGACCGGCCACACUGGGACUGAGACACGGCCCAGACUCCUACGGGAGGCAGCAGUGGGGAAUAUUGCACAAUGGGCGAAAGCCUGAUGCAGCGACGCCGCGUGGAGGAUGACGGCCUUCGGGUUGUAAACUCCUUUCAGCAGGGACGAAGAGAAAUUGACGGUACCUGUAGAAGAAGCACCGGCCAACUACGUGCCAGCAGCCGCAGUAACAC
rnacentral:rRNA from 1 species